rnacentral:misc_RNA from 1 species
AAGUCGUAACAAGGUUUCCGUAGGUGAACCUGCGGAAGGAUCAUUAACAAAUUCCAAAACUCGUCGACUGACUGAUCGCUCAACUUUUGAAUCUUUGUUCCUAUAACUUAGGGGCAACGAGGAGGAAGGUAGGCUUUCAUUCGGAAAACACAACACUAACACUUAUUGACAACUAAUGGAGAAACCACGAUUAAUCGUAAAAACAACUUUUAACAAUGGAUCUCUCGGCUCUU